CCUGGCGGACCUGUAGGUCUUCAGGAUGUUCGUGUGUUAUUUGAGUGAGCAUUGUUUGUGGAAAUUGGUGGAAGAGGCGAACUUCCUGUCUGGACCAUCAUGGUACAUGGUCAACACCAGGAGCGAGGGAGUGGUCACCAAGAGGCAGUGGAGGCCAAUUGAAGCCAUCACAAUUGGCAUGGGCUGGGUCAGCUACCUUAUCAUCACAAGAUCUGGGAAGACCACGGUCCUGUGAGCACGUGUGUGUCUUCUGCUGCCUACCCCAAGUGUGGUCCACAGACCAGCAGCGUGGAUACUACCUGGGGGUUUAGGGGUUGCAGAACUUCAGCCUCCAUUCCAGCCACACAGAAUCAGACUACAUUUUAACAAGACCCCAGGCUGAUACAGGAAAUGUCAAAGAUGGGUCCACGUGGCAUGUUAUAGACUUUAGACUCAGCUUCAACCAAACAAGCACCUCCAGUGUCAACCUACCUGGGAU